rnacentral:rRNA from 1 species
AGCGAACGCUGGCGGUAGGCCUAACACAUGCAAGUCGAACGGCAGCACAGUAAGAGCUUGCUCUUACGGGUGGCGAGUGGCGGACGGGAGAGGAAUACAACGGAAUCUACUUUUUGGUGGGGGUUAACGUAGGGAAAGUUACUCUAAUAUAGCAUACGCUCUACGGGUGAAAGCAUGGGAUCUUUGCAGCUUGUGCGAUUGAAUGAGCCGAUGUCGGACUAGUUAGUUGGCGGGGUAAAGACCCACCAAGGCGAGGAUCCGUAGCUGGACUGAGAGGAUGGUCGGCCACACUGGAGCUGGGACGCGGUCCAGACGCCUACGGGAGGCAGCAGUGGGGAAUAUUAGGCAGUGGGCGCAAGCCUGAUCCAGCCAUACCGCGUGGGUGAAGGAGGCCUUCGGGUUGUAAUGCCCGUUUGUUGGGAAAGAAAAGCAGCAGGUUGAUACCCCGCUGUUCUGACGGUACCCAAAGAAUAAGCACCGGCUAACUUCGUG